rnacentral:rRNA from 1 species
UGCGUAGGUGGCCCGAUUAGUCAGAGGUGAAAGCCUAUAGCUUAACUAUAGAAUUGCCUUUGAUACUGUCGGGCUUGAAUUAGGACGAGGUCAGCGGAAUGUGACAUGUAGCGGUGAAAUGCAUAGAUAUGUCAUAGAACACCAAUUGCGAAGGCAGCUGACUAGACCUUGAUUGACACUGAGGCACGAAAGCGUGGGGAGCGAACAGGAUUAGAUACCCUGGUAGUCC